rnacentral:tRNA from 1 species
AAGAAAAUAGUUUAUUUUAAAAUAUUAAAUUGUAAAUUUAAAGAAAAGUUUCUUGU